UGAAUUGUCCAUAACAAGCACAUCUAGGGUC
rnacentral:piRNA from 1 species